CGGGAAGCUCACACGCUAGAGACCACUAGGCCAGCGCGAGCGCCCAGCUAUAGCCCAUCGAUCUCUUGGAAAAGCCUGAGAUCAAAUCCCAGCUUAACUCCCCAAAGAUUUCCUGACUCCAAAUCUCCAUCCGCUCCGCAGCUACCUUCUCCCCAUAUAUACACGCGCACUCCCUCCCCCCUCUCCAGCCUCCAUGACCCCUCCUCGCUCACCUUUCUCUCUUGCCUGAGCCAAGAGCUACACUUUCUAUAUCCACCACUUCACCGUGCAAACCCCAUGCACACGCCUUGACAGAAGCUGAGCUAGCUUCUCCUGCGUCGCUGCAAGCUGCUACUUUGGUUCGUGACUGAAAGCCAAAUGGAAGAUACGGAUCAGGAGCUAUGCACCGUUGCGGUGGAGAUGAUGAGUUCAGGAAAACUCAAGCCAUGUAGACACUUGUUGUUCUAUCAAGACUCCCUUCACCGAGAAGCAUCUAUGAAAAUGGUUCAUGUUUAGCAAUAGCACGGUGUUAUCCUAACUGAGCUUUUCUUCUAGCCACCAUCCACAUCCUUCUUCAAAACCUCAACAUCACUUUGUGUGGGAAUUAAAAGGAAUUGGUCUUCUUGACCUUGCAAGACCUUUUCUUGACCUUGUAAGACCCAACAUCGUUGUGUUGCUUUUCUUGUUUCUUAUUUUUCAAUUUCAUCCACCUCUUCUUUCUACCUCCCAUCUUUCUCCUAGUUCUUGCCUUCUCUCUCGGUCUAUCCCUCCUGAGCUGUAUUGAUCACUUUCUAUGUUAUUUUCUCGAUGUUUAAAAGAAAAUUGAUUUUGUUUAGCAAUAUACGAAGAGAUUGUGCAAUUCUAGUAUACCUGUAAAUUGUAAUAUUAUUGCUUGCGUGAUAUAAUUUGUAAUAUU
rnacentral:lncRNA from 1 species